ensembl:snoRNA
AAGCCAGCCAAUUAGUCUGCUUAUUUGAAUGUGUUUCUACAGAAAUGUGGAGGAAGCUGACAAUAGUGGUGUCAUAUUAUGAACCUUAAGGACAACUGAGGUCAUUAAGGUCCCUGAAAAUGGAUAUAAUU